rnacentral:rRNA from 1 species
CCUACGGGAGGCAGCAGUGAGGAAUAUUGGUCAAUGGCCGGAAGGCUGAACCAGCCAUGCCGCGUGAAGGUCAGUGCCCUAUGGGCGUUAAACUUCUUUUGUGCGGGAGCAAUAAUGGUCACGUGUGGCCAGACGAGAGUACCGUACGAAUAAGCAUCGGCUAACUCCGUGCCAGCAGCCGCGGUAAUACGGGGGAGGCAAGCGUUAUCCGGCUUUAUUGGGUUUAAAGGGUGCGUAGGCUGGGAGGUAAGUCAGCGGGGAAAUGCCCCCGCUCAACGGGGUGAAGUGCCAUGGAUACUGCCUUGCUGGAAUGCGGAUGCGGUGGGAGGAAUGUGUGGUGUAGCGGUGAAAUGCAUAGAUAUCACACAGAACACCGAUUGCGAAGGCAUCUCACGAAUCCGCGAUUGACGCUGAUGCACGAAAGCGUGGGUAUCAAACAGGAUUAGAUACCCCGGUAGUC